GAUGAACGCUGGCGGCGUGCCUAAUACAUGCAAGUCGAGCGAACGGACGAGAAGCUUGCUUCUCUGAUGUUAGCGGCGGACGGGUGAGUAACACGUGGAUAACCUACCUAUAAGACUGGGAUAACUUCGGGAAACCGGAGCUAAUACCGGAUAAUAUUUUGAACCGCAUGGUUCAAAAGUGAAAGACGGUCUUGCUGUCACUUAUAGAUGGAUCCGCGCUGCAUUAGCUAGUUGGUAAGGUAACGGCUUACCAAGGCAACGAUGCAUAGCCGACCUGAGAGAGUGAUAGGCCACACUGGAACUGAGACACGGUCAAGACUCCUACGGGAGGCAGCAGUAGGGAAUCUGACGCAAUGGGCGAAAGCAUGACGGAGCAACGCCGCGUGAGUGAUGAAGGUCUUCGGAUCGGAAAACUCUGUUAUUAGGGAAGAACAUAUGUGUAAGGAGCUGUGCACAGCGUGACGGUACCUAAUCAGAAAGCCACGGCUAACUACGUG
rnacentral:rRNA from 1 species